GGGUCAGUAGGUUGGUCGUGCCACCGGUACGUACUGGUCUCACUGAUUCCUCCUUCCUGAAGAACCGUAAUGCCAUUAAUUUGGUGUUGCGGGGAAACAGGACCGUUACUUUGAAAAAAUUAGAGUGUUUAAAGCAAGCUAACGCUUGAAUACAUUAGCAUAGAAUAAUGAAAUAGGACGAUCGAUCCUAUUUUGUUGGUUUCUAGGAUUGACGUA
rnacentral:rRNA from 1 species